rnacentral:misc_RNA from 1 species
GAUGAAGAACGUAGCGAAAUGCGAUAAGUAAUGUGAAUUGCAGAAUUCAGUGAAUCAUCGAAUCUUUGAACGCACAUUGCGCCCGCUAGUAUUCUAGCGGGCAUGCCUGUCCGAGCGUCAUUUCAACCCUCAAGCCCCCGGGCUUGGUGUUGGGGAUCGGCGAGCCUCCGCGCCCGCCGUCCCCUAAAUCUAGUGGCGGUCUCGCUGUAGCUUCCUCUGCGUAGUAGCACACCUCGCACUGGGAAACAGCGCGGCCACGCCGUUAAACCCCCAACUUCUGAACGUUUGACCUCGGAUCAGGUAGGAAUACCCGCUGAACUUAAGCAUAUCAAUAAGCGGAGGA